GGAUAUGAGAUCCUGCAUCAGAAAGAAACCUCAGUAAUCUGAGAAUAGCUUAGCUGGUGUAGCUGAGAGGAAAAAAGCCAUUAAUGCAAAUGCUAGGAUGAUUCUGGUGCUAAUACUCAAGGCUAAGCUUAAAUGUCUGUUGCUGCCUUGAAAGGCUGCAUCCAGAGUAGAGAGGAAAAGCCCUGAGAGAACAAGCUCAGAAGCUGUGCUCAGCAUUUGCUCAUUGUCAUAAGCAGCACAAAUGUGAAAGUUGGUUAACUUUCAGACUUUGAUACCUGACUUUUAACAAUGCAGAGCCGGUAGCCUUGAGGGAAGAUCGAAAAGCUCUCAGUGAAGAAGUACCAGAAAUGACAAGAGGUCACUGCGAUUACAAUGCUGCAAUGUUUGGGUAACAGCGUUCCUCCGACACCUGGGAGCAGGGGGAAGAAGAGAAAACGCUCUGCGCCGAACGCUCGCUGAGCGGAGAUGUAUUUACCGAAGAUGUCUGAACAGAGAGAUGGCGCCCAAACCGCAGGUAUGUAUCACACUCACCAGAGGAUGAACUUCAGCAGAGAAAGUUGGAAAAGCGAACAGAAAGACUCUGUCCGCUGAGAUCUUCAAAUCACGUCUCAUCUGCCCUACAGCUGACAAAAGUGAGCAAAUUAAUACAUGAUCAAAGUUCGUUUCAACACAUCUUUGUUUGUUAGGGUCAGUGAAGAACGUUUGCAUGUGGAGAUCACUUCUGAACGAGGAGAUCAAGACGAUCAAAACCUUUCAUCACCAAGGACAGCUUCUUUGGACCAUCUGACAGUUUCUUCAAACGGGUCAGUCUCCGGUUCACGCAGCAUCAAGUCGCUACCUGAAAGGGGGAUAAGACUGUGACUGUGACCGCUUCAAUACCGGUCAUUCACAUCCACCUCUUCUACUCCCAGGUCAGGCGUCCGACGAAGAGUUUGCACUCGUUCCGGUCACAGCCGAGCCGAGCCAAGAGACCUCUCUCUGUAAUAGUAUUGUUUGACUGUUCUGUUUCUCACAUUGUCACAACAAGAACAAACUAAUACGUAAUCGAACUCGUCCCCUUAACUUAAACAUUAGAGUACAAGAUUUUGCGACAGAGUCAUGUAAAUAUCUCUCCUUGAAAAUUGUCGAUUUUGUCAUAAACAGCCAUGACAAUGUGUGUGUGCUGGAACAGUGUCAGGGCUCUUUGUCUCACACAAAUAUCCUUACGUACAUAAACAUACACACUUGUAUAUGCGGUGUUAUUUUAUGUGUGUUUAUUUUCUGCACAGAGGUAAGUUCAUAUGGUGCUUAAGUAUGUUAUUGUGAUAGUAUGUUGUGUAUGUCAGGUUACUCUGUGUGUUUAUGAACUUACAUUAAUGUUAUUGUAUGUAUGUUGUGUUGUAUGUCGGUAAGUGUGUUAUUAAAUGUGUCUAUGUUAGCGUGUGUUUAUGUACGUACAUCCAUACAUAUUAUUGUAUGUGUGUGUUACAGUAUGUUUUACAUGAACCCUUCCAUGUGUGUGGAGGCACAUGGACAUCAUGAGCUUUGAAGCACCAUGUUAACCAGGCACGGAGCUGACAGUAAAAACGUGCUGCUGUGGUCUCUUUUUCAUGAUGGAGAUGUGCAAACAAGGUUCUGUGUGUAGUGUUGUCAGGCUAACAUGUAGGAUGUUCAGAGUGUGGUCUUCAAAGCAAGUCAUUGUGUCUGGAGUCUGAGAAAAGGUGGCUGAGUGUGUGGUUAAGCAGAAGUGAAAACCAUGAGCUUAGCCUUUGAGUGUAUAAUAUAAGAGAGUAUAAUAUAAGAGAAUAUAAUUGUGUAUAAGUGUAUGAGAGUGUUAUAUAUAAGUGAGUAUAAUGUACAAGAAUUAUAUAAAAAGGUAUAAGUGUAUAAUACAAGUAUUGCUGAUAAUACUUAUAUAAUAUUAUAAUAAUAUACUUAAUACUUUGUGAAUGCAGGACUUUUACUGAGGAAUCUGCAUACUGACUCAUUUGUUUGUGUUGAAAUGAAUGGACUCCAGUGAAGCCACACGAGGAAGAUAAAUGUAAGAGCAAACUGAAAGAGAUCUCCAGCAGUAUUAUACAUGGGAAAUAACGGUAAUAUUGUGUGGCUCCAUGUUGUGAUGAUUAUUCUAAUUUCUGCAUCAGUUACCUUCAUUAAAAGUGGAAUGAACAGGAA